rnacentral:rRNA from 1 species
AGAGUUUGAUCCUGGCUCAGGACGAACGCUGGCGGCGUGCUUAACACAUGCAAGUCGAACGAGAAUCUACUGAAAGAGUUUUCGGACAAUGGAAGUAGAGGAAAGUGGCGGACGGGUGAGUAACGCGUGAGGAACCUGCCUUGAAGAGGGGGACAACAGUUGGAAACGACUGCUAAUACCGCAUGACGCAUAGAGGUCGCAUGAUCUUUAUGCCAAAGAUUUAUCGCUUCAAGAUGGCCUCGCGUCUGAUUAGCUAGUUGGCGGGGUAACGGCCCACCAAGGCGACGAUCAGUAGCCGGACUGAGAGGUUGAACGGCCACAUUGGGACUGAGAUACGGCCCAGACUCCUACGGGAGGCAGCAGUGGGGAAUAUUGGGCAAUGGGCGCAAGCCUGACCCAGCAACGCCGCGUGAAGGAAGAAGGCUUUCGGGUUGUAAACUUCUUUUAAGAGGGAAGAGCAGAAGACGGUACCUCUAGAAUAAGCCACGGCUAACUACGUGCCAGCAGCCGCGGUAAUACGUAGGUGGCAAGCGUUGUCCGGAUUUACUGGGUGUAAAGGGCGUGCAGCCGGGUCUGCAAGUCAGAUGUGAAAUCCAUGGGCUCAACCCAUGAACUGCAUUUGAAACUGUAGAUCUUGAGUGUCGGAGGGGCAAUCGGAAUUCCUAGUGUAGCGGUGAAAUGCGUAGAUAUUAGGAGGAACACCAGUGGCGAAGGCGGAUUGCUGGACGAUAACUGACGGUGAGGCGCGAAAGUGUGGGGAGCAAACAGGAUUAGAUACCCUGGUAGUCCACACUGUAAACGAUGAAUACUAGGUGUGCGGGGACUGACCCCCUGCGUGCCGCAGUAAACACAAUAAGUAUUCCACCUGGGGAGUACGAUCGCAAGGUUGAAACUCAAAGGAAUUGACGGGGGCCCGCACAAGCGGUGGAUUAUGUGGUUUAAUUCGAAGCAACGCGAAGAACCUUACCAGGGUUUGACAUCCUGCUAACGAAGUAGAGAUACAUUAGGUGCCCUUCGGGGAAAGCAGAGACAGGUGGUGCAUGGUUGUCGUCAGCUCGUGUCGUGAGAUGUUGGGUUAAG